GCAAAGCAAAACUACAAAGUAAACAAAAUCCUGAACACUUCUAACCUCGGUCUUAGAAUCAGUUGAGGGCCUCGAGGCAUAUUCGGCUGGUGACGUCUCUACUGGAGCCUGAGGUGCGAUGGAUACUACUGGGAUGGGGACCCCUUCAGCUAUGCCUUCAGUGGAUAAGGGGACAUCUACAGCGAUCGUUUCGAGCUCCCGCACCCCCUC
rnacentral:lncRNA from 1 species